GCGGAUGUAGCCUAAUUGGUAAGGCGCUGGCCUUCCCGGCCGGAAACUAUAGGUUCAAAUCCUAUCAUCCGCUCCA
rnacentral:tRNA from 1 species